GUCCGCGUGGCCUAAAGGAUAAGGCGUCUGACUUCGAAUCAGAAGGAAUCUGAUUUCAGGUUCGAAUCCUGUCGAGGAUG